rnacentral:rRNA from 1 species
GACGAACGCUGGCGGCGUGCUUAACACAUGCAAGUCGAACGGAAAGGCCCUGCUUUUGUGGGGUGCUCGAGUGGCGAACGGGUGAGUAACACGUGAGUAACCUGCCCUUGACUUUGGGAUAACUUCAGGAAACUGGGGCUAAUACCGGAUAGGAGCUCCUGCUGCAUGGUGGGGGUUGGAAAGUUUCGGCGGUGGGGGAUGGACUCGCGGCUUGUCAGCUUGUUGGUGGGGUAGGGGCUUACCAAGGCUUUGACGGGUAGCAGGCCUGAGAGGGUGACCGGCCACAUUGGGACGGAGAGACGGACCGGACUCCUACGGGCGGCAGCAGUGAGGAAGAUUGCACAAGGGGCGGGAGCCUGAUGCAGCAACGCCGCGUGCGGGAUGACGGCCUUCGGGUGGUAAGCCGCUUUCGCCUGUGACGAAGCGUGAGUGACGGUAACGGGUAAAGAAGCACCGGCUAACUACGUG